rnacentral:snRNA from 1 species
AUACUUACCUGGCAGGGGUGAUACCAUGAUCAGAAAGGUGGUCUGCCCAGAGCGAGGCUCAGCCAUUGCACUUGGGCUGUGCUGACCUUUGCGAAUUACCCAACUGGGGGAAUCUCGAAUGCAUAAUUUCUGGUAGUGGGGGACUGUGUGCGCACUCUCCCCUG